rnacentral:rRNA from 1 species
CGAAGUUACAUGGAUAACCGUGACAAAUUACAGCUAAUACAUGCAGUCAGACCUGGUCCAAGGGUCGUAAUUAUUAGUAUUAAACCAUUUCCGAAAGGAGUGUGAUGAAUCAUAAUAAUCGAACGAAUCGCCUGUUGUGCGAUAAAUCAUUCAAGUUUCUGCCCUAUCAGCUUUGGAUGGUAGUGUAUUGGACUACCAUGGCAGUCACGGGUAACGGAGAAUUAGGGUUCGAUUCCGGAGAGGGAGCCUGAGAAACGGCUACCACAUCUACGGAAGGCAGCAGGAGCGAAAAUUGCCCAAUCCCGACACGGGGAGGCAGUGACAAGAAAUAACAACUCUAGGUUAUUCUUAGAAGUGUAAUGAGGAUAAUUUACAAACCUUACCGAAAGCAAUUGGAGGGCAAGUCUGGUGCCAGCAGCCGCGGUAAUUCCAGCUCCAAUAGCGUAUAUUAAAGUUGUUGCAGUUAAAAAGCUUGUAGUUGAAGUUCUGGCUGCUCGGUCCUCGAGCUCUGUAGCCGAGGAAACGACAGUCAUCCGCUUGCAAAUAUAUGUUCGCCUUUAAUCGGGCGGCUAUAUGAGUAAGCAUUUUACCUUGAGAAAAACAGAGUGUUCCAGGCAGGUUUGUCCGGAAUGCGUUAGCAUGGAAUAAUAGAAUAUGACUGAAGUCGAUUUAUUGGUUUAAGGCUUUAGUAAUGAUUAAUAGGAACAGUCGGGGGCAUUGGUACUUGACAGUCAGAGGUGAAAUUCUAGGAUUUGUCAAAGACUAACAAAUGCGAAAGCAUUUGCCAAGGAUGUUUUCAUUAAUCAAGAACGAAAGUUAGGGGAUCAAAGACGAUCAGAUACCGUCCUAGUCUUAACUAUAAACGAUGCCGACUAGGGAUCGGCGGAUGACGUUUAGCGUUGCCGCCGG